UGGUUCACACCAGAUAACAUUGUGCCUUAUUUGGCCGUUUCCACAUUCUUUUCUCACCCUUCUUCUUCUCCUGUUUUCUCUGCAUCAAGGUCAGCACGAUAGCACUGUCUCUCUAUGCUGAGGGAGAAGCCUGUCCCGUACAUCCCAUGCCCCCACAAGAAGCCUACUACAACAUGUUUCAAAGCAGAAUUUUAUAUUUCCCCUUAGAAAAAUCAAUUUAAUAUUACCAGAAAAAAAUAUUCAUGUUAGCUAGAGUGUUAAAAAUAAAAUUUCAGGCAUGUGUAUAAAGAAUACUAACCUACAGAAAUUAGUAGGGUUGAUAUUUGGUAGAAUAUCUGCAGUUGAAAUGUAAAUCAGCUCUCUCAAUUUCUAGCUCGGUGCAUUUUUGCAUACCUGUAUUGUUAUAAACUGUAUUCUUUUUACAUUUGAAGAAAACCUGUGUGUCUGUGUGAACACACACAUGCACAGUCUCUCACAUGCAAAUGUAUAAUGUCUUCCAACAAAAUCUGGGGAUGUGGUAAAAUUUAUAAGGCAGGAUUAAUGUGGCUGAAUGUAAAUGCCUCUAGUAUAGAUGUUUAUAUCAAAACUAGCCACUCUGUUCUCCCUUUAUAGUCAGUGGAGGGAAACAGGUUUUGCUGGAGUGU
rnacentral:lncRNA from 1 species